rnacentral:rRNA from 1 species
UACGGAGGGUGCAAGCGUUGUUCGGAAUCACUGGGCUUAAAGCGCGUGUAGGCGGAGUGCUUAGUGCUUUGUGAAAUCCCCCGGCUCAACCGGGGAAUUGCUUGGCAAACGGGCAUUCUUGAGGCAGGUAGAGGUCACUGGAACGACUGGUGGAGCGGUGAAAUGCGUAGAUAUCAGUUGGAACGCCGGAGGCGAAAGCGGGUGACUGGGCCUGUCCUGACGCUGAGACGCGAAAGCGUGGGUAGCAAACAGGAUUAGAUACCCUGGUAGUCCACGCCGUAAACGAUGCGCACUAGGUAUGAGAGGCUCUGACGCCGAUCGUGCCGAAAGAAAACCAGUAAGUGCGCCGCCUGGGGAGUACGGCCGCAAGGCUA